rnacentral:rRNA from 1 species
AUUGAACGCUGGCGGCAGGCCUAACACAUGCAAGUCGAGCGGAUGAAGGGAGCUUGCUCCUGGAUUCAGCGGCGGACGGGUGAGUAAUGCCUAGGAAUCUGCCUGGUAGUGGGGGAUAACGUCCGGAAACGGGCGCUAAUACCGCAUACGUCCUGAGGGAGAAAGUGGGGGAUCUUCGGACCUCACGCUAUCAGAUGAGCCUAGGUCGGAUUAGCUAGUUGGUGGGGUAAAGGCCUACCCAGGCGACGAUCCGUAACUGGUCUGAGAGGAUGAUCAGUCACACUGGAACUGAGACACGGUCCAGACUCCUACGGGAGGCAGCAGUGGGGAAUAUUGGACAAUGGGCGAAAGCCUGAUCCAGCCAUGCCGCGUGUGUGAAGAAGGUCUUCGGAUUGUAAAGCACUUUAAGUUGGGAGGAAGGGCAGUAAGUUAAUACCUUGCUGUUUUGACGGUACCAACAGAAUAAGCACCGGCUAACUUCGUG